rnacentral:rRNA from 1 species
UACGGCGAGUGAGCGGCAAGCUCAAWUUUGAAAUCUGGUACCUUCGGUGCCCGAGUUGUAAUUUGGAGAGGGCAACUUUGGGGCCGUUCCUUGUCUAUGUUCCUUGGAACAGGACGUCAUAGAGGGUGAGAAUCCCGUGUGGCGAGGAGUGCGGUUCUUUGUAAAGUGCCUUCGAAGAGUCGAGUUGUUUGGGAAUGCAGCUCUAAGUGGGUGGUAAAUUCCAUCUAAAGCUAAAUAUUGGCGAGAGACCGAUAGCGAACAAGUACAGUGAUGGAAAGAUGAAAAGAACUUUGAAAAGAGAGUGAAAAAGUACGUGAAAUUGUUGAAAGGGAAGGGCAUUUGAUCAGACAUGGUGUUUUGUGCCCUCUGCUCCUUGUGGGUAGGGGAAUCUCGCAUUUCACUGGGCCAGCAUCAGUUUUGGUGGCAGGAUAAAUCCAUAGGAAUGUAGCUUGCCUCGGUAAGUAUUAUAGCCUGUGGGAAUACUGCCAGCUGGGACUGAGGACUGCGACGUAAGUCAAGGAUGCUGGCAUAAUGGUUAUAUG